UAUGACUCCUCUCCUUGCAGAACAGAGAGCCUUGCACCGUGAAACCAGUGACCCAGGCACCACACCAGAUGGAUGCUUUACAGGGCCAAGCAGGAAAUGAAGACGGGAGACCCUGCAACACUGUGCUUAUAAUUUGUCUUCUAAACUCGUUGAUAUUUGCUCUCCAUGUUGAGAUAUUGGAAGAGCCGCUCUCUCUGAAGCUCCUGAACCAACCUUUCCGUGGUACCCAGAUAUUCCUCCAGCUCCAAGACACAGGCACUCAGCAUCUCCAGUCUCUGCUGGUCCUGCUCAGCUCGGGUGCGUACAUUGGCCAGCUCCCCUUCCAGGGUGCUCUGCUCUGUCCCCAGGGUCGUGGCCUGCUCCUGGACCUCUCUGAGAUGUUUCCGAAGCCCCCGGUUCUCCCGUUCCAGCGUUUGAGUCUUCUCCCGAUAGCGUUUCAACUCUUCACUGAGGUCAAACAACUGGCCCUUCAGGUCCCAGGCAAGGGCGUUUGCCAGGUCUCUUCCUUACCACUACAGGAGCAGUGGAUGUGCCAGGCUUCUGGGCAGGAACAGUGGGAGCUGGCUUCUGGUUCCUCAGCACUGUACCAACAGUAGAGCACCCACGAGGUCCUGCCUUCUUAGGGCCUUUCUGAGCUGCAGUGUGGCCCUGGGUCUGUGACACUGUGCUGAAGAGUGGUCCUCUGGGACGGGAUAUGUCAACUUUGGUCACUGCACCCAUGCCUCGUGUCCGUUUCUUUACGGGCUCCAAGGCAUCCUCCAUCUGGUCAGGACCUCUCUUGAGCCUGCUUGCUGACGGGGCACUCGGGAGGAGAACUUGACCAGGCUUGUCUUCAGCUCUACAUUCCUCUUCACUUCCAACAAAGGUGGCCUCUGCGCCUGCACGUCCAUGGUGGUCCGCACAGGACGGGAUGCAAAGGCAGCAGGCAGGGUGCCGGUGUCCCGAGACUCACAUCCUCUCAAGGGCUCGCACUGCAAAACGCCGGAGCCAGGCCGUCCAGGAGCCAGGCUAAUCUGCCACACUAAUCCGCCAUACUUGCCACUUUUGAAUUUCUGUUCUUUCUUUUCGACACAAGAUCUUAC
rnacentral:lncRNA from 1 species